GACUCUCGACAACGGAUAUCUCGGCUCUCGCAUCGAUAAACAACGUGUUGNAAUGCGAUACUUGGUGUGAAUUGCAGAAUCCCGUGAACCAUCGAGUCUUUGAACGCAAGUUGCGCCCGAAGCCGUCAGGCC
rnacentral:rRNA from 1 species